AUCAUCACAUGAAGGAUUCUUUUUUUCUUACUUCCCAAUCUCAAAAGACCCACAUAUCCAGAUUGGGUUUUCUUUUUUCUUCCUAAUGGAUUAAAUUGCUGCCCCCACUCUUCAUUAUUCUGAAAAAUGCAAAAAAAAAAAAGAAAAAAAGAAAAAAGAAAUUAAGCUUUGAUUUGAUAAAGUUCACUUCGUAUGGAGUGGAACUUGACAGCUAUUGUUCACCUAAAUGUAUUUGUAAAAAAUCACUGAAUCAUUGGCUUUCAAGCUGUUGUUUUCAACCCCUCUCUAACCCCCCC
rnacentral:lncRNA from 1 species